rnacentral:lncRNA from 1 species
UCUUCUUUGUGAUUACAAGUAUACCUCUACAGUAAGUUAGUAUACUCACACAGAAGAUAAUUUUUCGGAGGAAAAGGCCAACUGUGGAAACUCCCAGAAACACAAUAGGGAUAGGCAUCCACAGAACACCAAGAAGGUCAUGCCCAGGAUACAAAUAAUCAAGUAGAAACCUGAUCACCUGACUUCUGGUCUUUCCCACCAGCUCCCUGUCCACUCCAGAAGUUACCCAGCUGCAGGUGGGGGUCUUAGCCCCUGGGUCUGACACCGUCCCUUUGCCUUUUUCACUGGGCUUCUCUCCUUGCACUGGCUCCUACUCCCCCAGGACCUGGCAGGAGACCGUAU